rnacentral:rRNA from 1 species
GAUGAACGCUGGCGGCGUGCCUAAUACAUGCAAGUCGAGCGAACAGAUGAGGAGCUUGCUCCUCUGACGUUAGCUGCUGACGGGUGAGUAACACGUGGAUAACCUACCUAUAAGACUGGGAUCACUUCGUGAAACCGGAGCUCAUACCGGAUAAUAUAUUGAACCGCAUGGUUCCAUAGUUACAGACGGUUUUGCUGUCACUUAUAGAUGGAUCCGCGCCGCAUGAGCUAGUUGGUAAGGUAACGGCUUUCCAAGGCAACGAUGACUAGCCGACAUGAGAGGGUGGACGGCCACACUGGAAGUGAGACACGGUCCAGACACCGACGGGAGGCAGCAGUAGGGAAUCUUACGCGAUGGGGGAAAGGCGGAUGGAGCAAAACCGCGUGAGUGACGAAGGUGUUCGGAUGGUAAAACGCUGUUAUUAGGGAAGAAGAAAUGUGUAAGUAACUAUGCACGUCUUGACGGUACCUAAUCAGAAAGCCACGGCUAACUACGUG